rnacentral:rRNA from 1 species
GUAGGGAAUAUUGGGCAAUGGUCGGAAGACUGACCCAGCCAUGCCGCGUGCAGGAAGACGGCCCUCUGGGUUGUAAACUGCUUUUAUCUGGGAAGAAAAAGGCCAUGCGUGGCAAAUUGCCGGUACCAGAUGAAUAAGCACCGGCUAACUCCGUGCCAGCAGCCACGGUAAUACGGAGGGUGCAAGCGUUGUCCGGAUUUAUUGGGUUUAAAGGGUGCGUAGGCGGCUGAUUAAGUCAGCGGUGAAAGACUCCGGCUUAACCGGAGCAGUGCCGUUGAUACUGGUUAGCUUGAGUGUUGGAGGGGUACAUGGAAUUGAUGGUGUAGCGGUGAAAUGCAUAGAUACCAUCAGGAACACCGAUAGCGAAGGCAUUGUACUGGCCAACAACUGACGCUGAUGCACGAAAGUGUGGGGAUCGAACAGGAUUAGAUACCCGAGUAGUCC